GGCCCUUAACUGACAGUCCACUUUGUUUAUGAAUCACACAAACAAGUUUGGAAGUUGGAAGUGUUUCGGGAGAACUUGGUUGUGGCCAAGCAGUGGAGCAGCGGCCAUGUGAAACUAUGGCCAUGAUGGCAAAAACGUUAUCGUUCCUUUUGCUCCCUACCAAGAAUGGACUUACUUGAUGGGCUACAGCUCUUCGAUGAACCUACGCCGAAUGGAGUAUCCUUCUCCACUGGGCUCAAUCAUGGGCCAAUCGCUUCCAGUCGCACUGAACAUUGAGCACCCUCAGAUCCUCUUCAACUGCAAAAAGCCAUCGUGUGCGAGGCCUUCCACGAAGCCUGCGGCCUCUUCCGGGUUCUCUACUAAAUAUUAUCUUCGCUUGACGUUCUUCCGGCAUACGAACAACGUGACCAAGAAUGGACUACGGACUACAAAAAUUACGCCGAGCCAUCAGAUUACGGAAGCCGUGCCGCAAAACGGACUGUUCAAGUCAAGGCUCUCCCAUACCUAAGCGAUUUGGUCACCACGAUGGCGACAACUAGCCGCCGCGAUUCUAUCGCUGGGUCGCUGUUCCAUUUACACUUCGAUACCAACGGCGGCGGCAGAAAAGCAGUCGUCAACCAAACUUUGGCUAUUGUGCUGUGCUAUGGACUGUCGUUGGCCUGUUCCAUCAUGUAGCUAUAUUCAACUGGAGACUCCAAGGGACAUCCGCCCAUUCGAACGGACUAUAUUUGCUACGGACCCUCUUGUCCCGAAUAAUCGGUAUUUGCCCAAGUUCUUCCAGAGCAUUCGGUGAGAAGCUGACAAUGAAAAAUUGACGAUGGUGGAUGUUCAGCUUCGUUUUCAACAAAGAUGAUUCAAGCAAUGGAACUAUACUUGUGUGCGUAAAUGGAAUCCAUCCCACAAUCUACAAAUUAGUACGCAGACUUCAAAACGACCAUUUUUGUGCAGAAAAUCUUUAAUAUUUUAUAGUAAAAUGUCUUCACUGUCAUAAGACGAUUUUGUACAAAUCCUUUUAAUUCCACCACUUUGUAAUCUUUAUAGAAACGUAUUUCGACUUUAACUGUAAAGCCGUCUUCAGUGUCUCGUACUUGACUCGUUAUUUUUGUGCAUCAAUUUAAUUAAAUUUCAACUAAAUAUUAACCCGUUUUUUUUUUAUUUUCAAAAUUAUUUUAUUUCUUUAUAAUUUAGAUUAUAACAAUUAUAGACGAAUCCAAGUAAAAAUAAGAAGAAGACACACGGCGGUGUUAACUUUGACAGAUCCUACAGCACAGCAUAGGGAGAUCAUUUUAAAAUGCUUAUAAUAAAUUCUAGACAAAAUGUAAUUAAAAUCUGAUUGAUGUAUGAUACGGAAAAAGUUCCGAACUGUAUGAUAGAUACAUUUUCGGAAAAUAUUCAAAAAAUUGAGAUAAGCUUCCAGAUAUGUAAUUUAGAACUUUUUCCGUACCGUACAUCAAUCAGAUUUUAAUUACAUUUUGUCUAGAAUUUAUUAUAAGCAUUUUAAAAUGAUCUCCCUAUGCUGUGCUGUAGGAUCUGUCAAAGUUAACACCGUCGUGUGUCUUCUUCUUAUUUUUACUUGGAUUCGUCUAUAAAUAAACUGAUACGUGGUAUCUCAAUACUAAAAAUCAUCAUAUUACAUGAAACGAAAAAAAACCUAAAGUUUUUCUCUAUUGUUAACAUACAAAAUUUCAUUUAUUGUAGUAGGUGUUGAAAUUUAAUAAUUAAUUUAGUAUAUAAAAUUAUCACUUAAUAAAUAAAAUGUGUUCACUUGGAAUAAGAUGAGUUAGUACUAUUCCAUUCAAUGCCACAACUUUGUUACUCUGCAGAUACUUAUUCCGACCUUAAUGUUAAUGUUGGAAUACAUAUCUGCAAAGGAAUAAAGUAGUGAAAUUGAAUGGUAUAGUAUUAACUAGUAUUAUAGAAUGUAAUUAUAAAUGCUAACGUAUUUUUAUUGUAAUACAAUAAAUAAACGAAACGAAAAACAUAAGAAAUACAAUAGUUUUUAUUGUAACGGCCGUAAAACUCAUCCCAUAGAAAAACAUUAAAAACUAUUGUUUUGGUCUGAAUUUUGUA